CUACGGGAGGCUCCAGUGAGGAAUUUUGCGCAAUGGGGGCAACCCUGACGCAGCAACGCCGCGUGAGUGAAGAAGGCCUUUGGGUCGUAAAGCUCUGUCAACAGGGAAGAAGUUAUUUAUGGUUAACAGCUGUAGAUAUUGACGGUACCUGUGGAGGAAGCAUCGGCUAACUCCGUGCCAGCAGCCGCGGUAAUACGGGGGAUGCAAGCGUUAUUCGGAAUCAUUGGGCGUAAAGGGCACGCAGGCGGCUCUGUCAGUCAGAUGUGAAAGCCCGGGGCUCAACCCCGGACGUGCAUUUGAAACAGCAGAGCUUGAGUACGGUAGAGGAAAGCGGAAUUCCUGGUGUAGAGGUGAAAUUCGUAGAUAUCAGGAGGAACACCGGUGGCGAAGGCGGCUUUCUGGACCGAAACUGACGCUGAGGUGCGAAGGCGUGGGUAGCGAACAGGAUUAGAUACCCCCGUAGUC
rnacentral:rRNA from 1 species